rnacentral:rRNA from 2 species
ACAUGCAGUCGAGCGGACGGAUGGGAGCUUGCUCCCAGAAGUUAGCGGCGGACGGGUGAGUAACACGUGGGCAACCUGCCCUAUAGUUGGGGAUAACUCCGGGAAACCGGGGCUAAUACCGAAUGAUAUAAUUUAGCUCCUGCUAGAUUGUUGAAAGAUGGUUUACGCUAUCGCUAUAGGAUGGGCCCGCGGCGCAUUAGCUAGUUGGUGAGGUAACGGCUCACCAAGGCGACGAUGCGUAGCCGACCUGAGAGGGUGAUCGGCCACACUGGGACUGAGACACGGCCCAGACUCCUACGGGAGGCAGCAGUAGGGAAUCUUCCACAAUGGGCGAAAGCCUGAUGGAGCAACGCCGCGUGAGUGAAGAAGGUUUUCGGAUCGUAAAACUCUGUUGUAAGGGAAGAACAAGUACAGUAGUAACUGGCUGUACCUUGACGGUACCUUAUUAGAAAGCCACGGCUAACUACGUGCCAGCAGCCGCGGUAAUACGUAGGUGGCAAGCGUUGUCCGGAAUUAUUGCGCGUAAGCGCGCGCAGGCCGUUCCUUUAAGUCUGAUG